GAUGAACGCUGGCGGCGUGCCUAAUACAUGUAAGUCGAGCGAACAGACGAGGAGCUUGCUCCUCUGACGUUAGCGGCGGACGGGUGAGUAACACGUGGAUAACCUACCUAUAAGACUGGGAUAACUUCGGGAAACCGGAGCUAAUACCGGAUAAUAUAUUGAACCGCAUGGUUCAAUAGUGAAAGACGGUUUUGCUGUCACUUAUAGAUGGAUCCGCGCCGCAUUAGCUAGUUGGUAAGGUAACGGCUUACCAAGGCAACGAUGCGUAGCCGACCUGAGAGGGUGAUCGGCCACACUGGAACUGAGACACGGUCCAGACUCCUACGGGAGGCAGCAGUAGGGAAUCUUCCGCAAUGGGCGAAAGCUUGACGGAGCAACGCCGCGUGAGUGAUGAAGGUCUUCGGAUCGUAAAACUCUGUUAUUAGGGAAGAACAAAUGUGUAAGUAACUAUGCACGUCUUGACGGUACCUAAUCAGAAAGCCACGGCUAACUACGUG
rnacentral:rRNA from 1 species